rnacentral:rRNA from 1 species
GACGAACGCUGGCGGCGUGCUUAACACAUGCAAGUCGAACGGUAAGGCCCUUCGGGGUACACGAGUGGCGAACGGGUGAGUAAAACGUGGGUGAUCUGCCCUGCACUUUGGGAUAAGCCUGGGAAACUGGGUCUAAUACCGGAUAGGACCACGCGCUUCCCGGUUUGUGGUGGAAAGCUUUUGCGGUGUGGGAUGGGCCCGCGGCCUAUCAGCUUGUUGGUGGGGUAGUGGCCUACCAAGGCGACGACGGGUAGCGGGCCUGCGAGGGUGACCGGCGACACUGGGACUGGGGUACGGCCCAGACGCCGACGGGAGGCAGCAGGGGGGAAUAUUGCACAGUGUGCGCGAGCCUGAUGCAGCGACGCCGCGUGAGGGAUGACGGCCUUCGGGGUGUAUACCUCUUUCAGUAGGGACGAAGCGCAAGUGACGGUACCUACAGAAGAAGGACCGGCCAACUACGUGCCAGCAGCCGCCGUAA